UGGUUAAAAAGCUCGUAGUUGGAUCUCAACAGCCUUGAAGCGGUUAACUUUGUAGUUUUACUGCUUUAUAGGCUGUGCUUUUGCUGGAGGUUUAGGGGUGCUCUUGAUCGAGUGUCUCUGGAUGCCAGCAGGUUUACUUUGAAAAAAUUAGAGUGCUCAAAGCAGGCUAAAAUGCCUGAAUAUUCGUGCAUGGAAUAAUAGAAUAGGAUGUCGAUCCUAUUUUGUUGGUUUUCGGGACUCGACAUAAUGAUAAAUAGGGACAGUCGGGGGCAUUUGUAUUCAAACGACAGAGGUGAAAUUCUUGGACCGUUUGAAGACAAACUACUGCGAAAGCAUUUGCCAAGAAUGUUUUCAUUAAUCAAGAACGAAAGUUAGAGGUUCGAAGGCGAUUAGAUACCGCCCUAGUUCUAAUCAUAAACGAUGCCAGCUAGCGAUCUGCCUGCGUUUUUACUGUAGACUGGGCAGGAAGCUUCCGGGAAACCAAAGCAUUUGGGUUCCAGGGGAAGUAUGGUUGCAAAGCUGAA
rnacentral:rRNA from 1 species